UGAUUUUGUUCUUUUAAUUAGUUUACACAAGUUCUUCCCGGUUAUUGAUUUUGGUUUGAUUGUUCAGAUAAAACCACUGAAAUUAAACAGGAGGUUAAGGUAGACUAACAUUAGAAUCUGUUUUCAUUAUGGGGAACAAUGAAAGGCCCGCAGAGGGGAUUGCAGGCUGAGGUUUUUAUGUUAAAGGGACAGUGCACGUUUAUCACAGUUGUUUGUGUGUCUAAUGGCUGGGUAUCUAAGAAGUAUUUUUGGGGAGACAAUUUGGAGAAACACGAAUAAAACAUGAAACAUCGAGACAAAUUAUUUGAGUUUGAGGGGAUUAUCAUAAUUAUUAGGUUUUGUUUUUGUCGUAAACGUUUGGGUUAAGGGGAUUUCCACGUUCCCAGAGACAUGGUAUUUUACAGAUAGGGGAAAAGGCAGACGGAGGGGCCCUCCCCCGCCCUGCAGAGACCUUGAAGGUUGGAGAGCAGAGGAGAGGUUUUGGAAAGGGGGGGGGGGGGGGCAGGACAGGCAAAGAUAACAGUUGCUGAGUGGAGACAGGGGAGAGAGUUGGACAUGUGGAAAAUGAUGGGGGCGCUCCUUCAUGAUGAUGUCAGACAUAAGGAUAAUAUACUAAUCUUACCUAAGUCAUGAUUUAGAGUAGGUAAGGUUGUUACCUGGGCAGAGCCAGGUAUCAAAAGGGGGGGAUGGGUAAAUGUGGUCUAGGAUAGGAUGGGGCCGAUUGGAUAAGAAACUAAUAAUUUAAAAAAAAUAAAAAAAUAUGUAAGCUAACAAUUGGGCAUAGAAGUUAAAGAUAUAAUCAGAUAAAACAUAUGAGAAAUUGUUUGUUAACCAAGCCUGUAUGUCCAGGAUUUUAUGCAUUACAGGUGAACUACAGGUGAAGUCACUCAAUCCAGUCCCAGAGGCUUGGGGACCAUAGAUGACCCCUGGUGACAGCUAGCUGAAAGCGCUACCCAGAUUCAUAUCGCACGGCGGAAGGGUAAGACACUUUUUCACUGUUGGACUAUAAACAGAGUUCGGGAGAAGAACUGGAAUUAACAGAAUUCCGGGGGCCAACUCUCGAAUGAAGUAACCCUACCUGUCCUAUCACCCCUGUUUUUGUUCAUAGAAGUGAAGAUGUGUCUGGCUCUGGCUAAGUGAUGUGUAUUUUGUUCCAAAAUAAGCAUAAGAGAUCCCUUGAUCUGGGUAUUUGUAAGUCGCUCUGGAUAAGAGCGUCUGCUAAAUGACUUAAAUGUAAAUGUAAAUGUAGACAAGAAGUUAGAGUAGAGAUUACAUGAUAACCGACUUCGGACAGUUCUAGGAUUGGAGAAGAGGGUAUCCUUAUAGCAUGGGGGAUCCCACAAGGGUGGAUAGGUUUUCCAUGAUAUGGGGAAACCUGGGAGCAAUGUUGAACUUUGUAAAGGUGAUGAAAUCCUACUAACCAUCAAAACUAUUAAGCUCUCUGAUGCAGGCACUCACACCCUCGGACUACAAAGGACGAGGACAGACAUGAUGGGUGUGUUUUCUAUUAAGGUACUGCCAAGACCAGAGGUAACCGGACACACUCCUCUACCACCACUGUGUUAAAAAUACCAUUCAGGUAAUUAAUGUUAGAGACUAUUCGGCUAUUGAUCAAUUAGGAACUGAGACUGGUUUUGAUAGUAGGGACAAUUUGUGGCUGUCUUAUAUGAGGUACACAGCUAAAACCCUGAGAGGAAAGGACUGUAUUAUUUGUAGUCAUGCUAGACCUGUUCUGGCUACACACCCAUUUGCUGCAGGAGAAACAGAGGGGUGGUUGUGUAUUCUGAGAAGUUUUUACCAGGUUAAGCCCAAUUCAACCCUCUGUUCCUCUUUGAGCCUUGUGUUUCCUGCAGUACCUCCUCAUGGGGCCAUUUGGGGUGUUGAGGCAUGGGGGGGGAAAUUGCAGUUGCAUCACGGGUACAGGUAAUGGCAUUGAUUAUGGGAGAUUGCCUGAAGCUGAUUGCAGUAGUAACAUAACCAUUAAUUCCACUUGGCCAGUUACAGGCCUAAACCAAACUAAGUGGUCUGGCAGAUGUGUGGAGCCAAAAGAGUGCUGAGACCCAUUCUUAGAGGAGAAUGGCAAGGUACGUGUGGUCUGACCAGUUUGAUAAUUCCACCGACCAUUGUUGAUGUUACUGCUGAACAGCUGUUGGGUUCUGUAUCCAGGGGACCUGAAAACAUUCCAUCCCAUGGGAGACAUAGACGUAGCGCUCCAUGGACAGAGAAUGUAGUUGCCAUAAACACUAACCUGUUGGGUGUGCCAGUGGGGGUUCCUCAUGAGUUUCAGGCCUUGGGUAGGAAUGAUGGACUCUGGCACUUACUACCUACUAUGGGUCCAGCCAUGGUGGAUGCUAGACAGACUGCAUGGAUUAAUUAUAUCUACUAUAAUCAACAGCGUUUUGUGAAUUACUCCCGUGAUGCACUCACUGGUAUGUCUGAACAGCUUGAGGCCACAUUUGGGGUUUCCAGACAGAAUAGACUUGCCUUGGAUAUGCUUCUUGCCAGUCAGGGGGACGUUUGCAAGAUGUUCGGUAAACAAUGUUGCACGUAUAUUCCUAAUAAUACCAGUCCAGAUGAUAUCUAGGGCGGGCUUGAUGCACUAUCUGAUAAGAUGAGGUCCACAGGGGGGGUGGAGGAGUCUGUUCUCUUGGCCUGGUUUGGUAAGUACACUGAUAUGAUGGUUACUGGAUUUCUGACCCUAAUUCUUGUAUUAUUUGUUAUUGAUGUGAUGUGCUGCUUGCAUCAUACCGUGUUCUAAGAAAUAUGUUACAGAUAUGGUGAAGGCUUCAGGCAUGUUGCCUUUGCUUGAUGCUCCAGUUGGAGAUGCCGAUACGGAAGCAUGCUUUCAGGAGAGGAUGGGACUGACUGAGGAUGACCCAUGGUAUGCUGUGGGUGAGGUAGUAGAAUAAUUUUACACCACCACAGUUCCUUGUUAUAAAUUUUUAUGAUAGGUUUUCUUUCCAGUAUGUUUGUUCUCCCUGUUGUAAAGGUUUAGAGUCCCUGGGUGGCAAGGAGCCCACCUGGUACAGGAUAGGAGUAGCUGAGAGGACCAGAUGGUUUCUAAUAAUUCUUUCCUCUGUUUUCCAUGACCAAAGUUUUAUCCUACAUCUUACAUGUCAAUAACAAUAAAGUUUUAUCCUGUUUUUGAUAAGUGACACCCUUGUGGGUGUCAAAAGGGGGAAACGCAUAUAACAAUAGACAUAUAUCACUUGUUAUUAAUAAUACACUUUUUAUUAUUUUCAUGAAAUGCUAUGACUGCUGAAAUAAAGGAUAAUGAGUGUCAAAAGGGGGACUUAAAUUUCACACCAUUUUCUUUUGUUCUGCUUUUGAAUGAGCUGUUGUUCAUUUUUGUUCACACCCUUGGGGUUAUUUUACAUUAUAGCCAUUACCAUAUAUAUGAUUGAAUAUUAUCUGCUGUUGCCUUGGGUGGAUGUGUGUAUGUGUUAUGUUCUCUAGCUGAUUUGAAACAUUGUUAAAAGUAUCAGGGACAUGGAACUUUCUCAUGCUGGGAAAAUACAGAAGGGAGGGCACAUUCAGAGCGUGGGGUUGCGAGAACAAGCGGUCUUUUGUUAGAUAACAGGAGCCAGGUGCGAGAUAACGGUAUGGAGCAUGAGACCCAUCUUUUAGUUUUUGCAGCCAUUUUAGUGUUGUGCGGCUGCGGUUGCAUUCCAUGUAUCCGGUCCCUUAUUGCUAGAGUUAUCUCCAGAGCUAUUGACCCUUCUUCCCCUUCCCAGAUGUAUCCUCUGCUUGCUAAUGACCUGCCAGAGUUUGAGGAUGAGGUGGAGAAUACCCAUUAGAGCGUGUCACAUCUCUUUGGAGAUGUGAAGAGAGGGUAUCACAACUUUUUCCUGCUGGAAAAUGUUGGCUUAUGUGGACAAACAUUUUACUUAUAGCUUAGAGCUGUUGUUCUCCGCAAUUGUUAAAUGAGGGUUGUAAGUUCCUAGGUGGCUGGUAGCCAACUUAGUACAUAGUGGGAUUGAGUGGAGAACUUAGUGGUAAUACAUAUACAUCCAUUUCUUUUUAAUGUUGUGCCUUUUUCAUAGCCCCUUUGGGAAAAGUUUUCUUUUGUAUCAGAAUCUAGUUAGGUUGUGUCACGUCUCUGGGGAGAUGUGAAGAGAGGGAUUUGUAGAGGACUGCUAAUUCCUAUGUAGGUGACAUUACAUUACUAUUAAUUCCUAUGUAGGUGACAUUGCACUACUAUAGCUGAGACAACGUAUUUUCAUAAGUAAAACAGGUUGGGCCCCAUACAGGAUAUUUCUCACACACACACUCACUCAAAUCAUCCAGAACACUGUCACAACAGGAUACUCCUAGCCACAGGUGCUAGCCGGCAGUUCGGCCACAACUCCCCUGAAGAUAGGGACGCACACACUUUACACACUGACCCCAGAAGACAGGGACGACGCACAUACAGUACACACAUAGCUGCCGAGGACACCCAGAUAAGACACCCACAGAUUGGCAGAAAGCCUAGACUUAGUGACUGAAGAUAGCGCACACACCAGAUCUCCUUUUCAGCUGAACAUGGUGUGACGACCAAGAACAGGCAUGGCAGGAUUCUACGAUGACGGACAGACAACAGAGCCAAUGCCGGAUGACUACACCCCAGCCUGAUCCAAUCCGAAGAUCCGAUCUCCUAGAAAUCAAACUACUUUCUGUUCUGUAUAUGAAGCUUGUACCCACUGUUAGCAAGUGCCUUUUUGCUAGUCUCUGAUGAGCCAACAGAGGGGCCCGUAUAUACGCCGUACCAGAUAUCUUCACUCUGAAUAAACCUGUCGCUUGUCGUACAAUCUA